rnacentral:rRNA from 1 species
AGCGAACGCUGGCGGCAGGCCUAACACAUGCAAGUCGAACGAACUCUUCGUAGUUAGUGGCGGUCGGGUGAGUAACACGUGGGAACGUGCCUUUUUGUUCGGAAUAACUCAGGUAAACUUGGGCUAAUACCGAAUGGCCCCUUCUGGGAACAGAUUUAUCGCCAUUGGGACGGCCCGCGUCUGUUUAGCUUGUUGGUGAGGUAACGGCUCACCAAGGCGACGAUCAGUAGCGGGUCUGAGAGGAUGAGCAGCCACACUGGGACUGAGGCCCGGCCCAGAAUACUACGGGAGGGAGCAGAGGGGAAUCUUGCCAAAUGGGCGAAAGCAUGACGCAGCCAUGCCGGGUGAAUGAUGAAGGUCGGAGGAAAGAAAAAUUCUUUAACCGGGGACGAUAAUGACGGUACCCGGAGAAGAAGCACCGGCUAACUUCGUG